ACUACGGGGGGCAGCAGUGAGGAAUAUUGGUCAAUGGCCGAGAGGCUGAACCAGCCAAGUCGCGUGAGGGAAGACGGCCCUACGGGUUGUAAACCUCUUUGGUCGGGGAGCAAAGCGAACCACGUGUGGUUCAUUGAGAGUACCCGAAGAAAAAGAAUCGACUAACUCCGUGCCAGCAGCCGCGGUAAUACGGAGGAUGCGAGCGUUAUACGGAUUAAUUGGGGUUAAAGGGUGCGCAGGCGGAGGUGCAAGUCAGCGGUCAAAUUGCGGGGCUCAACCCCGUACUGCCGUUGAAACUGCAUCCCUUGAGUGCGCGAGAAGUAUGCGGAAGGCGUGGUGUAGCGGUGAAAUGCAUAGAUAUCACGCAGAACUCCGAUUGCGAAGGCAGCAUACCGGCGCGCAACUGACGCUCAUGCACGAAAGCGUGGGUAUCGAACAGGAUUAGAUACCCCUGUAGUC
rnacentral:rRNA from 1 species